rnacentral:rRNA from 1 species
GACGAACGCUGGCGGCGUGCUUAACACAUGCAAGUCGAACGGAAAGGCCCUGCUUUUGUGGGGUGCUCGAGUGGCGAACGGGUGAGUAACACGUGAGUAACCUGCCCUUGACUUUGUGAUAACUUCAGGAAACUGGGGCUAAUACCGGAUAGGAUCUCCUGCUGCAUGGUGGGGGUUGGAAAGUUUCGGCGGUUGGGGAUGGACUCGCGGCUUAUCAGCUUGUUGGUGGGGUAGUGGCUUACCAAGGCUUUGACGGGUAGCCGGCCUGAGAGGGUGACCGGCCACAUUGGGACUGAGAUACGGCCCAGACUCCUACGGGAGGCAGCAGUGGGGAAUAUUGCACAAUGGGCGGACGCCUGAUGCAGCAACGCCGCGUGCGGGAUGACGGCCUUCGGGUUGUAAACCGCUUUCGCCUGUGACGAAGAGUGAGUGACGGUAAUGGGUAAAGAAGCACCGGCUAACUACGUG